GCCUGGGUGGCUCAGUGGGUUGAGCAUCUGACUUUGGCUCAGGUCACGGUCACAUGGUUUGUGGGUCCGAGCCCCAUGUUGGGCU
rnacentral:tRNA from 1 species